AUUGAACGCUGGCGGCAUGCCUCACACAUGCAAGUCGAACGGUAACAGGUCUUCGGAUGCUGACGAGUGGCGAACGGGUGAGUAAUACAUCGGAACGUGUCUAGUAGUGGGGGAUAACUACUCGAAAGAGUGGCUAAUACCGCAUGAGAUCUACGGAUGAAAGCAGGGGAUCGCAAGACCUUGUGCUACUAGAGCGGCCGAUGGCAGAUUAGGUAGUUGGUGGGAUAAAAGCUUACCAAGCCGACGAUCUGUAGCUGGUCUGAGAGGACGAUCAGCCACACUGGGAAUGGGACACGGCCCAGACUCCUACGGGAGGGAGCAGUGGGGAAUUUUGGACAAUGGGCGAAAGCCUGAUCCAGCAAUGCCGCGUGCAGGAUGAAGGCCUUCGGGUUGUAAACUGCUUUUGUACGGAACGAAAAGCCCCGGGUUAAUACCCUGGGGUCAUGACGGUACCGUAAGAAUAAGCACCGGCUAACUACGUGCCAGCCGCCGCCGUAA
rnacentral:rRNA from 1 species